rnacentral:rRNA from 1 species
GACGAACGCUGGCGGCGUGCCUAAUACAUGCAGGUAGAACGCACAGUUUAUACCGUAGCUUGCUACACCAUAGACUGUGAGUUGCGAACGGGUGAGUAACGCGUAGGUAACCUGCCUGGUAGCGGGGGAUAACUAUUGGAAACGAUAGCUAAUACCGCAUAAUAUUAAUUAUUGCAUGAUAAUUAAUUGAAAGGUGCAAUUGCACCACUACCAGAUGGACCUGCGUUGUAUUAGCUAGUAGGUGAGGUAACGGCUCACCUAGGCGACGAUACAUAGCCGACCUGAGAGGGUGAUCGGCCACACUGGGACUGGGACACGGCCCAGACUCCUACGGGAGGCAGCAGUAGGGAAUCUUCGGCAAUGGACGAAAGUCUGACCGAGCAACGCCGCGUGAGUGAAGAAGGGUUUCGGAUCGUAAAGCUCUGUUGUAAGAGAAGAACGGGUGUGAGAGUGGAAAGUUCACACUGUGACGGUAUCUUACCAGAAAGGGACGGCUAACUACGUG